GACGAACGCUGGCGGCGUGCUUAACACAUGCAAGUCGAACGGAAAGGCCCUGCUUUUGUGGGGUGCUCGAGUGGCGAACGGGUGAGUAACACGUGAGUAACCUGCCCUUGACUUUGGGAUAACUUCAGGAAACUGGGGCUAAUACCGGAUAGGAGCUCCUGCUGCAUGGUGGGGGUUGGAAAGUUUCGGCGGUUGGGGAUGGACUCGCGGCUUAUCAGCUUGUUGGUGGGGUAGUGGCUUACCAAGGCUUUGACGGGUAGCCGGCCUGAGAGGGUGACCGGCCACAUUGGGCUGAAGUACCGCCCCGGCCUCCGAGGGGAGGCAGCAGGGGGAAAUUGUGCACAGGGGGGCGGCGCCGAACGCGGAAACGCCCGGGGCGGAAUGGCGGCUUUGGGUUUGAAACCCCUUUCCCCUUGUGAGGGACGGAGAUUGCCGGUAACGGAUAAAAAGGCCCGGCCUAACUCCGUG
rnacentral:rRNA from 1 species